rnacentral:rRNA from 1 species
UUCGCCCUUUUCCGGUUGAUCCUGCCGGACCCCACUGCUAUCGAGGUGGGACUAAGCCAUGCUAGUUGAGCGCACAGAACUAUGUCUGUGAGCGGCACACUGCUCAGUAACACAUAGCUAACCUACCCUUAGGACGUGGACAACCCCGAGAAAUUGGGGCUAAUCCGCGAUAGAUGUAAUGUCCUGGAAUGGUAUUACGUCCAAAGGUAUCCCAUACAUGUUUGGUAUACGCCUAAGGAUGGGGCUGCGGCCGAUCAGGCUGUUGGUGAGGUAAUGGCUCACCAAACCUUUGACCGGUACGGGCCAUGAGAGUGGUAGCCCGGAGAUGGACACUGAGACAAGGGUCCAGGCCCUACGGGGCGCAGCAGGCGCGAAACCUCCUCAAUGCACUUACGUGCGAAGGGGCUACCUCGAGUGCCACCUGAUGAAGGUGGUUUUUCCUAGGUCUAAAAAGCCUUG